rnacentral:snoRNA from 1 species
UGCCGAUGAUGAAAGAACCUGAUUGAAUUGACGAACCGUACGACAGGUCCAUGGAUCUCUUGGUUUUCUUCACUUUGUUUGAGGCAUAUCUGAAGAAAUGCAGCAUAGGAAAUCCAGAAGUCACAAAUAAUAAUCUGAUUAUA